rnacentral:rRNA from 1 species
CCUACGGGAGGCUGCAGUGGGGAAUAUUGCACAAUGGUGGAAACCCUGAUGCAGCGACGCCGCGUGAAUGAAGAAGUAUUUCGGUAUGUAAAGCUCUAUUAGCAGGGAAGAAAAUGACGGUACCUGAUUAAGAAGCCCCGGCUAACUCCGUGCCAGCAGCCGCGGUAAUACGUAGGGGGCAAGCGUUAUCCGGAUUUACUGGGUGUAAAGGGAGCGUAGACGGCAGCACAAGUCUGGAGUGAAAUGCCUGGGCUUAACCCCGGAACUGCUUUUGAAACUGUGCAGCUAGAGUGUAGGAGAGGUAAGUGGAAUGCCUAGUGUAGCGGUGAAAUGCGUAGAUAUUAGGAGGAACACCAGUGGCGAAGGCGGCUUACUGGACUGUAACUGACGUUGAGGCUCGAAAGCGUGGGGAGCAAACAGGAUUAGAUACCCUGGUAGUC